UUUAGUAUAAACUACUCUUGUAGUAAAUACAUUUCAACAUAAUAUACUUCGAAGUAACUAAAUUUCACGGAACCUAAAUUAUUUCUUUUUGCGUGAAUUAAGUUUUGUGAAAAGUUAUUAAACUUGCGAAUCCCAAAAUUUAGUAUUUGCCAUGAAAUUUCGUUUCAUUUGAGAACAACAACAACUUUGCUACAAGGGCUAUUUGCUUGUCAGAAGUGUCCCAAUUUUCUACCGCAAAAUGAAUGCGCAACAAAAAUAACCGCGUAGCCCGUAACGCAUGCGUAACAUUCUUUGCACGUGCUUUUUACAUCGCACACGUUACUUGAUUUACACGUGCGAAUCAUCGCACACCCCAAAUAUACUGAUUAUUUGUCUUAAGUCUUUUGUUAAUUUUAAGAAAAAGAAUAUAUUUGUGAUUUAUUAUUCUUCUUUUUUUCUGACCUUAAUUUGUUUGUCCAAUCGCGUUGAAGCCUUCAUAAUGUUCUUAACAUGUUCUUAAUUUUUGGGGUUUUGAAGCCUCUGUUCUUAUAAACUUUCUUCUUAUAAAAAACAAUGUGUACAUGGGCAGACAUGGGACAUGGGCACAUAGGAAUGAUAUGAGAAUGGUUAGGUGGAUGUGUAACGCCAGUCUGAGAGACAGAAACAGUUCAGAUGAGCUAAGAAGUCUCCGUAGAAUUAAAGAUGUUAUCCGGAUAAGAAGAUUGAAUUGGCUGGGGCACUUGGAAAGAAUGGAGGAGGAUAAUAGGGUAAGAAAGUGUAAAGACUUGAUAGUUCCUGGGUCAAAGCCCAGAGGCAGACCGAGAGAGACUUGGCAGGAGGUUAUAAGGACAGACUUGAUACAGAGGAAGUUGAGUUUAGAUCUAACACAGUCUAGAUCAGAUUGGAAGAGGGUCAUUAAUAUACCCCGUCCAACCCAUGCUAGCAUGGAAAACGGUUAAGCCGAGAAUGAUGAUGAUGAUGAUGAUGUAGGUUAAUUUGGAGAUCUCCUAAAUAAGCUGUAAAAUACAGCUUAAUGAAUAAAUCAAUUAAGUGAAUUAUAUUUAUUUAACAGUAAUAACUACAUUUGAGUUAAGCAAAUAAAAGUAGAGAAACAUUAUUAUUUCAUUUAUUAUAUUACUAUAUAUAUUAUUAUUAUUAUUACUAGUGUUAUUUACUGUAGGGAGACCACCAUUAGUAGCUUGAGGAAAAUAAAAGUAAACAAUCAUAGAUAAUAAAAAAUGAUUCCGAAUAGACAAUAGGUGAGUUCAGCUAUACAAUGAGAGAAAAAUUUUAGUCAGACAUAAUUUAAGAUUACUAGUGGUGCGCUGUAUAUGUUAGAACGGUCGCAGGCGUUUUUUCGGGGGUUUUCUAGGUUUUCUUUUGUAACUGCACGGAAAAGCCUGAGCCCAGUCCGAAACCGCCCGAAUUGUGCAAUGCACGCAAGGCUCAUUGUUCUUAUUUAAAUUUUGUCACGAAGAAGGAAGGUGCUAAUUUGUCGUUUUACUCUCAGUUUAUUAUUUGUGGGAUUUUAUUACAGCUAUAUUUAUUGAAUAAAUGAUAUAAAAAACAAUUUUUUCAGAACUUCCCCUGUGUGGGUAUUGGGUACCUUAACCAUGUUGUUAUGUGCCGAUAUGCAAAUGCGCUGUAAUGGCGCGGUAGCUGUACUGUAAAGUAUCUACAGACUUUGUUAAUACACAAAAGACAGAUGUUUAUGUUAAUAUAAAAAUAUGCAUUAUUAUUUCGUUUACUAACCCUCCAUCAUAACCAGAGUAAGUCUAACAUCCACUACAACUGCUCGACAUUAAAAGAAUAAAUUAUACAUCAUGGUAUUAAAUGUUUAAAAAAAUGUCACGGGUUGAUUCGGGUUUCUCUGGGCAAAACUUUGAAUUUUUUUAAAACGCCGGAAGUCGCCGACAGCCCCAUGGUUUUGGCGGCGGUUCUUGCGAGUCAGCACUUUAGUCUAGUGGUGAGAGAGACAAAUUUUUUAGAGAGAAGGGAACCUUGUAAAAAAUUCCAGGAAAAACACGCUGAUAACGAACUGAAUUAGAACCAAAUGAUAUAGUGGAGACAGUGGAGAGAUUUUUUAAUCCAGGAGCAGAACCAUGAGUGCUAUGAGAGUGGGUGAAGUCACUAUUGAAAGUACUAAAGUGUUUGGAGGAGAUCUUUAUGAUACAAACUGUGAAGAAAUAUCACAUUUUUUAAGGUGAAUCAAGUCACAGAAUUUCAGAAUACCAAGUUUAUUUAAUAGAGGAUUUAAGGGGGCAUUGCGUUGUUGAAAAGACAUAAGUCUGACAGUGAAAUGCUGCAGAAUGGAUAUGCACUUAUCACUUUGUCCCAGACUAUUUGCCUUGUUGUUAACCAUACUCACAAGAAGUGACCGCAGCUGCGCUUAAAGUGUCUUGUCGCCUAAAAACAAGUGGGUUCAACUCAAAAUUUCACCUAUAUGUAAGGAAAAUGCCGAAAUUUUAUAUACACCUGCACUAUUGACAAAAGAAAAUGGGCUUCCCUUAGCUCUGCAAAAAAUUUUUUACAUGCUUUUUACUAAACGAUGUGGUGAAAAACUAUCAAAGUAGUGUCAACAAAAUUCUUAUGAAGCGUUUUUGUGUUUACUUUUCUCAAAACUUCUAAUUUUUUUGCUACUUCAAUAUAUUUUGGAUAUAUCUAUUGUUGACAUUGCACCAAGCUAUAGCUUGGAUACUUUUACAGUUUUGACAUCAGAGACCAUUAGUUAUAUUCUAGAGAUUAAACAAACCUAUAGAUAUAUAAUUUCUGUUGUCUAAAUUUUCAGUAGUAAGCUCUUCCAUAGCAUCUUUUUUCCUCUCACGCAAAUGCCAGAGCCAAGGAGCUUACCACUAAAAAGUAAACAAAUGGUGUCACAAUGGAUUUUAUUUUAAUAUGAAUAUAACUGUGGCUCCAUAGUACCUUUUUUUGAUUAGUGUAUUUAUUAUUAUUUAAUUAAGUAUAUAAGUAAUUUAUUUGUAAAGCAGUAAAAAAAUUACGGUGUUUUAAACUAUCAAUUAGGGAAUUUGUCAAGUGUAUAUUGAUUUUUAAAUGUUGAUUUGAUCAUGGCUAAAGUAAGCCAAGGGCUUAUUUAAAAGAACAUUUUGUAUUCUGUUUAAUUAACACCAAUGCGUUUACAAUUCAUAAUAAUGACAUGAUCAGACAAUAGUUUUUGGGAUUGCUUCUUAGAUGAUAAAAACAGUUUUAAAAUACGGUACAGAUACAGAAAUAAUCUGAAUAUGGUAACAAAUUUGCUCUUUUUUUCUUUGAGCAGCUUUGAGUUUGUUUAUUGCACUGUGAUGAGUUUAUUUGCCUUGCAUAUAUUUAUAGUUAGGAUAGAUUCUACUUAACAGAGAAGCUUGAUCAUGAUUCUCACAAUUGAAAAUAAUAAAAGUUAGAAUACAUCCUUCCUUUCAGCAUGAUAUGAGAUUGUUUAGGUGGAUGUGUAACAACAUUUUGAGAGGUAAAAGAGUUCAGAUGAGCUAUAAGUCGCAGGUUAAGUAUUUAUAGCAUUAGAGAUGUUAUCCAGAUAAGAAGAUUAAGUUGGUUGGACAAAGUCCAGAGGUAGAUCAAGAAAGACUGGGCAGGAGGACGGACUUGAUGCAGGGAAAUUUGAGUUUAGAACUAAUAUAGUCUAGAUCAGAUUAAAAAGGCCAUUAAUGUAUGCCAUCCAACCCAUGCUGACAUAGAAAACAAAUGUUAAACUGAGAAUGACGGUGAUUAUGAUGAUGAUGAUGAAAGGUGUUCAUAAAGUGUCUAUAUUACAAGGUAUAUACAUUAAACUUUUCUUUUCUUGUCUUCAGGAUUUCCGCAAGCCUUUUCGAGCACAACGUCAAAGAGAGGCAGCUAAAGAAAGUCAAUUUAUUAGAACUCUUGUGAGUUCACCAACGACAACACAAUUAAAGAAGGUCAGUGCGGAGGAGACUAAUCACGCUAUCGUCAAUUCAACUACUACUAUCAUCAUGGUCAAAGAAGUGCAAAGUGCGUAGUUUCAAGACAACCCAAGUGAGUGUUCAAACUUAAAUGUUUUCAACGAAAUAAAGAAUUUACGGGAAGAUAUCGCUGAUCUUAAAGAUGUUGUCCAAACUAUAGCUGGUGAAAAUUUAGAACUAAAAAAAAGUAAGCUCUCAAGAAAUAAUCAUUAGAAAGUUAAAAUUGGAUUUAAACAGUCUUGACCAAUAUAAAAGAUGGGAAAACAUCAAGACAGCUGGUAUUCCAGACUCAAUUGUGAAUGAUAUACUUGAACCCAAAGUCAUUGAACUAUUCGAUGUAAUUGGUAUACGUGUUUUACCAUUUGACAUUGUGGCAUGUCAUAGAUUAUCGAGUUCAACGGAAGGUAAUACAAGUAACUUACCAAAAAGAAUUAUUGUUCGAUUUGACAAGAAAAAAUUUUUGGGAUUGGCUAAAACUUAAUUGAAGAAACUUAAAACCAUUGAUUUACGUCAUAUCGGUCUGGAAUAUCUCUAUUUUCCGUAAAAGUUUGUUUUGCUUGCAUUCGUUAAUUGUUUGUCUUAGUUAGCUAGCUACAUCUGUCUUUUUGUGUGUGUUUUUUUCAAACUUAAUUUUUUCCCUUUUUUUAAAUUUUCCUUGCAUGUCUGUUAAUUCAUAUCUCUGCUUAAUAUGUGACAAACAAGCUAGAUCUGAUGCUAUUUUUUGUGACUACUGUGAACUCUGGGUUCAUAGAAAAUGUAAAACUGAAAAUGUAAAACUUGUGGAAUCAGAUAACUCUGGCUUGUGGUCUUGUUUUAAAUGUAACUGUGAGCUGUUUCUAAUGAAUAGACCUGACCUACAAACUCCUUUGUUAACUGGGAGGAAAAAAAAGCCAUGUCAAAAAAGCCACGAUGUUUCUCUUGCUAAUAUUUUUGAUUGCAAUAAUGUUGAUAUUCAAGAACUCCCUUAAUUUUCAGAAUGACCAGCUAUCUUUUUUUCACAUAAAUAUUUGCUCCUUAAAUAAACAUUUUGAUAGUUUGAACUUUUUUUUCCAAUAUGUAAAUGACUUUAUAGUUAUUGCUCUUUCUGAAACCAGAAUCUUUUCUAAACUUUCAUCUUAUUCUCUUGUUCACUAUAUCUCCUAUCAUACACUAACUGAAUCUACUGCUGGUGGCACAUCCCUUUUCGUAAAAAAGACUCUUUCUUCUACCCGCAGACCUGACCUUGAAUCUAUUAUGUGCACCGGAUAUAAUAGAUUCAAGAAGAAUCCAUAAACGUGUCAACAUUGACCUAAAACUUCUGGUGGUUAUGUGUUAAUAGGAUCUCCUUGAAUAUUGCUAAAACUGAGGUUCUUCUCUUCAGAAACCGAAAAAAAUACCUGAAUUUUUUCCUAGACUGAAACUGAAUGGUAAGUGUCUUGUAUAUAGUGACUCGGUUAAGUAUCUUGGAGUUUUCUUGAACCUUUUUUGAAUUGGAACAAACGUAUUGAUAGCAUUUGUUUGAAGCGUAGAAAUGCAACUGGUAUUAUUGCUAAACUAAGGCACUUUUUAACUCGUAAAUCCUUAUUAUCUGUCUUUCAUGUACUAUUUCUCUCACAUUUAAACUAUGCUUGUCAAGUUUGGGGUCAAAAUUAAAUUCCACUAACAGAAUUCUUCUCUUUCAAAAGCGCUGUAUCUGACUUAUCACCUUUUCCAAAUUUACUGAUCACUCAACUCAAAUAUUCUUGAAAUUUCUGACCUUAUAAAAUUCCACAAUGCUCUUUUGAUCUUUCAAAUCUCCAAAAAACUUACUCCCUUAAAGAUAAUCAACACAUUUGAUCUUCGUUAUUAUCCUGUGGAACAUGUAACCAGAGGAAGGGCAACGGGCUACUUCAUGAAACCUCUAUGUCAUACCUUGACAUACAAUCAAUAAUCCUUUGGAACAGCUUUCAGAAACAUCAUCCUGACACACGCCUUUUCUAUUAAUAAGUUAAAAACAUUUUUGUUUUCUUAUAGAUCAAUAUCUAACUUGAUUUGUCUCAAUAAAACAACUUUACUUAUAUUUUCCAAGUUUUUCUAUCAAUUUUUCUUUAUUUUCUUUUAGCAUGCAAUUUUUUACUUGUUUCUUGUAGUUCCUAAACUGUUGAUAUAUCCUCUUAUCGUGGUGACCUCUCUCUUAGUGUUACUAUUGGGAGGCCUCCCUCUAUUUGUAUAUUUUAGUUAGUUAUUACCUUGUAUACUGCCUAUAUAUGGAAAAUCAACACUACUGCUACUACUACUAAUACUACAACUAAUUUGAAACCAAGACUGAGAGUAUAGACACAAUCGACUUAAAGUGUUGAGAAAGCGUUUUAGUGUAUUGUCGGUCCGAGAACUUUUGGCGAAAUUGAUGAGAUCAAUCAUCAUACAUUUUAUUUUAUUUUUUUACAAAAUUAAAGAUUUUUAGUAAUAACUAAUAAUUUUAAGCAACUUGCUUGAGUGAAAAUAAACCAUAAAAGACUUUGAAAGUGAUAAAUCAGGUAGAAAGAUUUCUUUAGUGUUAACCUCAGAUUUUGCCUAUUUCAUAAUAUUUGUCGAAUUAUUGAGAUGCUUUCAUUCCAAAUAUGGCUUAGGGCAAAUUGUCACUAUUUUUUGUACAGAAUAUGUUUCAGCCACAAAUAGAAAAAGUAAAGCGUAUUUUUACUGAAUUUAAUCAACCCAAUGUGUUUCCUACGCACUUUCCAGUGCAAUCACAAAUUUUUGAUUUUGUUGAUAUUUAGGGAAAUUAUUCCGAAAAGUUUGGACUGUUUUUUAAAAACAUGAAGUUUUUUAGCGGAUCAUGCCAUUGUUAUAUUCGUCUCUUUCUGUCUUUUUUCGCACUUCCCUGUAUUCUCCUAAUCUUUAGAGUUAGAGAUAUGAGCGCUGUUUGUUUAUGUCCUUGAUGUAACUUUAAAUGGCUUCGCCUCCUUGGCUAAUCCGUACCGAUAACAUCAUUGGAUGAAGAACACUCAGUCGCACCUAAUUGCUUUGGGUUUAAGUCAUUAGCGACCAAGUAAGGUGAUCGAAAAUAUUUUCGUGGGGUGACACAAUACUGAUACUGAUUCGGAUAUUGCGACUCCUGAUUUUAUCAUACAAAAGCUGUAUUUGCGCAUUGGUAAGUUGUAUCCUGGUGUAUGCCAAAUCCUGCUGAAUCAUUAUGUUUGUCUCCUGUAUAUUUUGUUGUUGCUUGCGAAAUUCAAUUAAAAAUAUCGGGAUUAUUCUGAAAUGUCUUCUAAAACGGAGUGAUCCAAAUUAAUUUAAUAAUUAUUGGAGGAUCCUAAAGUAUUAUUUGAUUUGUUAAUAUACUAGUCGGUUGUCCGUGAAAAAAUCUCUGGUUCGCCCGUCCUUUUUAUACCGUAUUGCGUGCGUCUCGCUAUCUGAGUACUAUUUUGCGUGACAGACAUACGAGUAUAUUGUGUGGGAAUUUAUGUUCACCAAAAAGCUUUCACCAAACCUAAUAUUUUUAUAAAGUUCUGUAAGCGCGACCACGAGCUGUGCUUAUUUAUUAUUAUUAGCAUUCAACUUAAGUUGGAUAAAAAAGUUGAUAUGUUAUCACUGUCAGCUUAUUUACAACUAAAUCCAAAUUCGCCAAAACUUGUGACUCCAAAAUUUAAAAGUUAAAUUAUUUGUACCGACUAACAGCGAAAAUAUGGUAGUAGUGGAGAUGUUGUCUGUAGGUGCCAUAGAACAACUAGAAGCUAAUCCUUUACCCUUACUGUUUGUAUAUAAUGCUAUAAUUAGGGGUUUUUUAUAUUUUAAGUUUAUAUUUAAUUAUAUAUUUAUAUUAAAUUGUAUAUUUAUUAUAAUAACACUCGAGGGCGAAAAUAAAAAAACAGGGAUAGAACGAAACAACAACAACAGCUUCAAGUUUUAUGCAACCACAAGCGUGACGAGAAUGAAAAUCAGAUUUUGAUCGGCGCAUUAGCCAAACUGAGAAAGCAAACACGUAAAAUUAGUUUUUUCAAGUAGAUAGCCAACAAGCAACAGUUGAGAUUGUUAAAAAAAUUAUAUUCCACUGUUUUAAGAUACGUGUGACAAAAUACCUUCUUUCUUGAAUUUUUCGCGCGCAUCAACAGAUGGUUGCACUAAAAUAUUUUUUUGUUUGUUUACUUAUAUACUACUUUAAACGGGUGCGCGAAAAUUAAAUGUGCACUAAGCCAAGGUGCGCGAAAAUUAAAUGCGCGAAUUUUAAACUGGCGUGACAAUUUAAUGAAUUAAGGUGGUAUUUAAUUGUUAUUAUUAUUUUCUCACAUAUAAUAUUCCUGAUUUAAAAUAUAAUAUAAAAGAUUGGAAAAAGUCUUGUUUUUUAUUUAUUUUUAUUGUAUAUCAUAUAACGAAGAUAUUAUUUAGCAAUAUUCUUACUGAGUUUUAAUUUAAAUGCUAUAAGUUUGGUCAAGAACAAAAUUAAUGAAACACAUGCUUUAAAAUAUUCACUCUACGAAUCGGAGAUGCUGGUCCAGGGCGCAAUAUCAAUAUUUUUAGGGCGUUUUCUUCUGUUUCGUUCACGAUUGUAAGCAAGAUCAAAGCAUGCGUGUUUUUGACUAAAUAGUGUAAGAACUGAAAGAGCGAAAAUUUGGGCUUAUUGCCAAAGGUAACUGCCUUGUUUGAUGGAUUGACUUUAUAUAGAGCUUAACAGAACGAAUAUUAAGGGUGUGCUCAUUGAAGUGCACCAAGAAAAUUUAUGCACAUUUAUUUUAAUCUUAUUCUGAUGAUAUAUAACAUAUGUUUCAUCGCUAGCUCUCGUAGCGAUCGGACGUGUGCUCUAGAGCUCCUCCGAUAAGUUAGUUUUUUUUCCACUCGAAUCAAACAUGACAAACGUUAACUUAAUGAAGUAACCUGUGAUCAUCUAUAGCUAUCGUCAAUUCAACUACUACUAUCAUCAUGGUCAAAGAAGUGCAAAGUGCGUAGUUUCAAGACAACCCAAGUGAGUGUUCAAACUUAAAUGUUUUCAACGAAAUAAAGAAUUUACGGGAAGAUAUCGCUGAUCUUAAAGAUGUUGUCCAAACUAUAGCUGGUGAAAAUUUAGAACUAAAAAAAAGUAAGCUCUCAAGAAAUAAUCAUUAGAAAGUUAAAAUUGGAUUUAAACAGUCUUGACCAAUAUAAAAGAUGGGAAAACAUCAAGACAGCUGGUAUUCCAGACUCAAUUGUGAAUGAUAUACUUGAACCCAAAGUCAUUGAACUAUUCGAUGUAAUUGGUAUACGUGUUUUACCAUUUGACAUUGUGGCAUGUCAUAGAUUAUCGAGUUCAACGGAAGGUAAUACAAGUAACUUACCAAAAAGAAUUAUUGUUCGAUUUGACAAGAAAAAAUUUUUGGGAUUGGCUAAAACUUAAUUGAAGAAACUUAAAACCAUUGAUUUACGUCAUAUCGGUCUGGAAUAUCUCUAUUUUCCGUAAAAGUUUGUUUUGCUUGCAUUCGUUAAUUGUUUGUCUUAGUUAGCUAGCUACAUCUGUCUUUUUGUGUGUGUUUUUUUCAAACUUAAUUUUUUCCCUUUUUUUAAAUUUUCCUUGCAUGUCUGUUAAUUCAUAUCUCUGCUUAAUAUGUGACAAACAAGCUAGAUCUGAUGCUAUUUUUUGUGACUACUGUGAACUCUGGGUUCAUAGAAAAUGUAAAACUGAAAAUGUAAAACUUGUGGAAUCAGAUAACUCUGGCUUGUGGUCUUGUUUUAAAUGUAACUGUGAGCUGUUUCUAAUGAAUAGACCUGACCUACAAACUCCUUUGUUAACUGGGAGGAAAAAAAAGCCAUGUCAAAAAAGCCACGAUGUUUCUCUUGCUAAUAUUUUUGAUUGCAAUAAUGUUGAUAUUCAAGAACUCCCUUAAUUUUCAGAAUGACCAGCUAUCUUUUUUUCACAUAAAUAUUUGCUCCUUAAAUAAACAUUUUGAUAGUUUGAACUUUUUUUUCCAAUAUGUAAAUGACUUUAUAGUUAUUGCUCUUUCUGAAACCAGAAUCUUUUCUAAACUUUCAUCUUAUUCUCUUGUUCACUAUAUCUCCUAUCAUACACUAACUGAAUCUACUGCUGGUGGCACAUCCCUUUUCGUAAAAAAGACUCUUUCUUCUACCCGCAGACCUGACCUUGAAUCUAUUAUGUGCACCGGAUAUAAUAGAUUCAAGAAGAAUCCAUAAACGUGUCAACAUUGACCUAAAACUUCUGGUGGUUAUGUGUUAAUAGGAUCUCCUUGAAUAUUGCUAAAACUGAGGUUCUUCUCUUCAGAAACCGAAAAAAAUACCUGAAUUUUUUCCUAGACUGAAACUGAAUGGUAAGUGUCUUGUAUAUAGUGACUCGGUUAAGUAUCUUGGAGUUUUCUUGAACCUUUUUUGAAUUGGAACAAACGUAUUGAUAGCAUUUGUUUGAAGCGUAGAAAUGCAACUGGUAUUAUUGCUAAACUAAGGCACUUUUUAACUCGUAAAUCCUUAUUAUCUGUCUUUCAUGUACUAUUUCUCUCACAUUUAAACUAUGCUUGUCAAGUUUGGGGUCAAAAUUAAAUUCCACUAACAGAAUUCUUCUCUUUCAAAAGCGCUGUAUCUGACUUAUCACCUUUUCCAAAUUUACUGAUCACUCAACUCAAAUAUUCUUGAAAUUUCUGACCUUAUAAAAUUCCACAAUGCUCUUUUGAUCUUUCAAAUCUCCAAAAAACUUACUCCCUUAAAGAUAAUCAACACAUUUGAUCUUCGUUAUUAUCCUGUGGAACAUGUAACCAGAGGAAGGGCAACGGGCUACUUCAUGAAACCUCUAUGUCAUACCUUGACAUACAAUCAAUAAUCCUUUGGAACAGCUUUCAGAAACAUCAUCCUGACACACGCCUUUUCUAUUAAUAAGUUAAAAACAUUUUUGUUUUCUUAUAGAUCAAUAUCUAACUUGAUUUGUCUCAAUAAAACAACUUUACUUAUAUUUUCCAAGUUUUUCUAUCAAUUUUUCUUUAUUUUCUUUUAGCAUGCAAUUUUUUACUUGUUUCUUGUAGUUCCUAAACUGUUGAUAUAUCCUCUUAUCGUGGUGACCUCUCUCUUAGUGUUACUAUUGGGAGGCCUCCCUCUAUUUGUAUAUUUUAGUUAGUUAUUACCUUGUAUACUGCCUAUAUAUGGAAAAUCAACACUACUGCUACUACUACUAAUACUACAACUAAUUUGAAACCAAGACUGAGAGUAUAGACACAAUCGACUUAAAGUGUUGAGAAAGCGUUUUAGUGUAUUGUCGGUCCGAGAACUUUUGGCGAAAUUGAUGAGAUCAAUCAUCAUACAUUUUAUUUUAUUUUUUUACAAAAUUAAAGAUUUUUAGUAAUAACUAAUAAUUUUAAGCAACUUGCUUGAGUGAAAAUAAACCAUAAAAGACUUUGAAAGUGAUAAAUCAGGUAGAAAGAUUUCUUUAGUGUUAACCUCAGAUUUUGCCUAUUUCAUAAUAUUUGUCGAAUUAUUGAGAUGCUUUCAUUCCAAAUAUGGCUUAGGGCAAAUUGUCACUAUUUUUUGUACAGAAUAUGUUUCAGCCACAAAUAGAAAAAGUAAAGCGUAUUUUUACUGAAUUUAAUCAACCCAAUGUGUUUCCUACGCACUUUCCAGUGCAAUCACAAAUUUUUGAUUUUGUUGAUAUUUAGGGAAAUUAUUCCGAAAAGUUUGGACUGUUUUUUAAAAACAUGAAGUUUUUUAGCGGAUCAUGCCAUUGUUAUAUUCGUCUCUUUCUGUCUUUUUUCGCACUUCCCUGUAUUCUCCUAAUCUUUAGAGUUAGAGAUAUGAGCGCUGUUUGUUUAUGUCCUUGAUGUAACUUUAAAUGGCUUCGCCUCCUUGGCUAAUCCGUACCGAUAACAUCAUUGGAUGAAGAACACUCAGUCGCACCUAAUUGCUUUGGGUUUAAGUCAUUAGCGACCAAGUAAGGUGAUCGAAAAUAUUUUCGUGGGGUGACACAAUACUGAUACUGAUUCGGAUAUUGCGACUCCUGAUUUUAUCAUACAAAAGCUGUAUUUGCGCAUUGGUAAGUUGUAUCCUGGUGUAUGCCAAAUCCUGCUGAAUCAUUAUGUUUGUCUCCUGUAUAUUUUGUUGUUGCUUGCGAAAUUCAAUUAAAAAUAUCGGGAUUAUUCUGAAAUGUCUUCUAAAACGGAGUGAUCCAAAUUAAUUUAAUAAUUAUUGGAGGAUCCUAAAGUAUUAUUUGAUUUGUUAAUAUACUAGUCGGUUGUCCGUGAAAAAAUCUCUGGUUCGCCCGUCCUUUUUAUACCGUAUUGCGUGCGUCUCGCUAUCUGAGUACUAUUUUGCGUGACAGACAUACGAGUAUAUUGUGUGGGAAUUUAUGUUCACCAAAAAGCUUUCACCAAACCUAAUAUUUUUAUAAAGUUCUGUAAGCGCGACCACGAGCUGUGCUUAUUUAUUAUUAUUAGCAUUCAACUUAAGUUGGAUAAAAAAGUUGAUAUGUUAUCACUGUCAGCUUAUUUACAACUAAAUCCAAAUUCGCCAAAACUUGUGACUCCAAAAUUUAAAAGUUAAAUUAUUUGUACCGACUAACAGCGAAAAUAUGGUAGUAGUGGAGAUGUUGUCUGUAGGUGCCAUAGAACAACUAGAAGCUAAUCCUUUACCCUUACUGUUUGUAUAUAAUGCUAUAAUUAGGGGUUUUUUAUAUUUUAAGUUUAUAUUUAAUUAUAUAUUUAUAUUAAAUUGUAUAUUUAUUAUAAUAACACUCGAGGGCGAAAAUAAAAAAACAGGGAUAGAACGAAACAACAACAACAGCUUCAAGUUUUAUGCAACCACAAGCGUGACGAGAAUGAAAAUCAGAUUUUGAUCGGCGCAUUAGCCAAACUGAGAAAGCAAACACGUAAAAUUAGUUUUUUCAAGUAGAUAGCCAACAAGCAACAGUUGAGAUUGUUAAAAAAAUUAUAUUCCACUGUUUUAAGAUACGUGUGACAAAAUACCUUCUUUCUUGAAUUUUUCGCGCGCAUCAACAGAUGGUUGCACUAAAAUAUUUUUUUGUUUGUUUACUUAUAUACUACUUUAAACGGGUGCGCGAAAAUUAAAUGUGCACUAAGCCAAGGUGCGCGAAAAUUAAAUGCGCGAAUUUUAAACUGGCGUGACAAUUUAAUGAAUUAAGGUGGUAUUUAAUUGUUAUUAUUAUUUUCUCACAUAUAAUAUUCCUGAUUUAAAAUAUAAUAUAAAAGAUUGGAAAAAGUCUUGUUUUUUAUUUAUUUUUAUUGUAUAUCAUAUAACGAAGAUAUUAUUUAGCAAUAUU